GUUAUAUGAUCAAGUGAAUAAGUGCAUACGGUGGAUGCCUUGGCAGUUAGAGGCGAUGAAAGACGUAAGAGCCUGCGAAAAGCUUCGGGGAGGUGGCAAAUAACCUUUGAUCCGGAGAUGUCUGAAUGGGGAAACCCACUGACCAUAAGGUCGGUAUCAUACACUGAAUACAUAGGUGUAUGAGGCGAACCUGGGGAACUGAAACAUCUAAGUACCCAGAGGAAAAGAAAUCAACCGAGAUUCUGUGAGUAGCGGCGAGCGAACGGGGAGCAGCCCAGAGCCUGAAUCAGUGUGUGUGUUAGUGGAAGCGUCUGGAAAGGCGCGCGAUACAGGGUGACAGCCCCGUACACAAAAAUGCACAUGCUGUGAGCUCGAUGAGUAGGGCGGGACACGUGGUAUCCUGUCUGAAUAUGGGGGGACCAUCCUCCAAGGCUAAAUACUCCUAACUGACCGAUAGUGAACUAGUACCGUGAGGGAAAGGCGAAAAGAACCCCGUUUAGGGGAGUGAAAUAGAACCUAAAACCGUAUGCAUACAAGCAGUGGGAGCAUCCUUUUUGUGAUGUGACUGCGUACCUUUUGUAUAAUGGGUCAGCGAGUUAUUUUUAGUGGCGAGGUUAAGCGUAUAGCGGAGCCGUAGGGAAACCGAGUCUGAAUAGGGCGUUAGUCGCUAGGAAUAGACCCGAAACCGAGUGAUCUAUCCAUGGGCAGGUUGAAGGUUGAGUAACAUCAACUGGAGGACCGAACCCACUGUCGUUGAAAAGCCAGGGGAUGACCUGUGGAUAGGAGUGAAAGGCUAAUCAAACUCGGAGAUAGCUGGUUCUUCGCGAAAGCUAUUGAGGUAGCGCCUCGUAAUAGACUUCUGGGGGUAGAGCACUGUUUCGGCUAGGGGCCCAUCCCGGGUUACCAACCCGAUGCAAACUCCGAAUACCAGAAAGUUGUUUUACGGGAGACACACGGCGGGUGAUAAGGUCCGUCGUGGAGAGGGAAACAGCCCAGACCGCCAGUUAAGGUCCCUAAAUAUUACUAAGUGGUAAACGAUGUGGGAAGGCUUAGACAGCUAGGAGGUUGGCUUAGAAGCAGCCAUCCUUUAAAGAAAGCGUAAUAGCUCACUAGUCGAGUCGGCCUGCGCGGAAGAUUUAACGGGGCUAAGUAAUAUACCGAAACUGCGGGUUCAUAAUUUAUUAUGAGCGGUAGCGAAGCGUUCUGUAGGCCGGUGAAGGUGACCUGAGAGGGUUGCUGGAGGUAUCAGAAGUGAGAAUGCUGACAUGAGUAACGAUAAAGGGGGUGAGAAUCCCCCUCGCCGGAAGUCCAAGGUUUUCUACGCAACGUUCGUCGACGUAGAGUGAGUCGGCCCCUAAGGCGAGGCAGAAAUGCGUAGUCGAUGGGAAUCAGGUUAAUAUUCCUGAACUUCUUACAAUUGCGAUGUGGAGACGGAGAAGGCUAGGCCAGCGCAGUGAUGGUUAUCUGCGUUUAAGGUGGUAGGCAGAAUCCUUAGGCAAAUCCGGGGAUUUAAUGCUGAGAGCUGAUGACGAAGCCACUUUUAGUGGUGAAGUGGUUGAUGCCCUGCUUCCAGGAAAAUCCUCUAAGCUUCAGAUUGUAAGAAACCGUACCCGAAACCGACACAGGUGGACAGGUAGAGAAUACCAAGGCGCGUGAGAGAACUCAGGUGAAGGAACUAGGCAAAAUGGUACCGUAACUUCGGGAGAAGGUACGCCCUGGCUGGUGAUGGACUUUACGUCCUAAGCUGGUUGGGGCCGCAGAGACCAGUUGGCUGCGACUGUUUAUUAAAAACAUAGCACUGUGCGAACUCGAAAGAGGAUGUAUACGGUGUGACGCCUGCCCGGUGCCGGAAGGUUAAUUGAUGGGGUUAGCGUAAGCGAAGCUCUUGAUCGAAGCCCCGGUAAACGGCGGCCGUAACUAUAACGGUCCUAAGGUAGCGAAAUUCCUUGUCGGGUAAGUUCCGACCUGCACGAAUGGCGUAACGAUGGCCAAGCUGUCUCCACCUGAGACUCAGUGAAAUUGAAAUCGCUGUGAAGAUGCAGUGUAUCCGCGGCUAGACGGAAAGACCCCGUGAACCUUUACUACAGCUUUGCGCUGGACUUUGAGACUAUCUGUGUAGGAUAGGUGGGAGGCUAUGAAAUGUGAACGCUAGUUUGCAUGGAGCCAUCCUUGAAAUACCACCCUGGUAUUCUUGAGGUUCUAACCUAGGCCCGUUAACCGGGUUGGGGACAGCGUAUGGUGGGUAGUUUGACUGGGGCGGUCUCCUCCGAAAGAGUAACGGAGGAGUACGAAGGUGUGCUAAGCAUGGUCGGACAUCAUGCGGUUAGUAUAAAGGCAAAAGCACGCUUGACUGCGAGACGGACAUGUCGAGCAGGUACGAAAGUAGGUCUUAGUGAUCCGGUGGUUCUGUAUGGAAGGGCCAUCGCUCAACGGAUAAAAGGUACUCCGGGGAUAACAGGCUGAUACCACCCAAGAGUUCAUAUCGACGGUGGUGUUUGGCACCUCGAUGUCGGCUCAUCUCAUCCUGGGGCUGUAGCAGGUCCCAAGGGUAUGGCUGUUCGCCAUUUAAAGAGGUACGCGAGCUGGGUUUAGAACGUCGUGAGACAGUUCGGUCCCUAUCUGCCGUGGACGUUGGAGAUUUGAGAGGGGUUGCUCCUAGUACGAGAGGACCGGAGUGAACGAACCUCUGGUGUUCCGGUUGUGUCGCCAGACGCAUUGCCGGGUAGCUAUGUUCGGAAUAGAUAACCGCUGAAAGCAUCUAAGCGGGAAGCUAGCCUCAAGAUGAGAUCUCCCUGAGGGCUUGACCCUCCUAAAGGCUCGUCUAAGACUAAGACGUUGAUAGGUUGGAUGUGGAAGUGCAGUAAUGUAUGAAGCUAACCAAUACUAAUUCGCCGUGAGGCUUGGUCAUAUAACCCCAAGGGGUUU
rnacentral:rRNA from 1 species